AGAGAUACAGAGACAGAUAGAUACAGAGAGAGAGAGAUACAGAGACAGAUAGAUACAGAGAGAUACAAAGAGAGAGAGAGAUACAGAGAGAGAGCCCAGCACAUGCUGGAUAUGUUGAAUUGAAACUAUUCCAUUACUGUCUCCAUUUUCACCAUCAACAGUACAGCCAGAAUGAUAUCACAACUUUAACCCUACCCCCAAGCCAACAGGUUAAUGAUAUCACAACUUUAACCCUACCCCCAAGCCAACAGCCAGAAUGAUAUCACAACUUUAACCCUACCCCCAAGCCAACAGGUUAAUGAUAUCACAACUUUAACCCUACCCCCAAGCCAACAGGUUAAUGAUAUCACAACUUUAACCCUACCCCCAAGCCAACAGGGUAAUGAUAUCACAACUUUAACCCUACCCCCAAGCCAACAGGUUAAUGAUAUCACAACUUUAACCCAACCCCCAAGCCAACAGGUUAAUGAUAUCACAACUUUAACCCUACCCCCAAGCCAACAGGUUAAUGAUAUCACAACUUUAACCCUACCCCCAAGCCAACAGGUUAAUGAUAUCACAACUUUAACCCAACCCCCAAGCCAACAGCCAGAAUGAUAUCACAACUUUAACCCUACCCCCAAGCCAACAGGGUAAUGAUAUCACAACUUUAACCCAACCCCCAAACCAACAGCCAGAAUGAUAUCACAACUUUAACCCUACCCCCAAGCCAACAGCCAGAAUGAUAUCACAACUUUAACCCUACCCCCAAGCCAACAGGUUAAUGAUAUCACAACUUUAACCCUACCCCCAAGCAAACAGCCAGAAUGAUAUUCACAACUUUAACCCUACCCCCAAGCCAACAGGUUAAUGAUAUCACAACUUUAACCCUACCCCCAAGCCAACAGGUUAAUGAUAUCACAACUUUAACCCAACCCCCAAGCCAACAGGUUAAUGAUAUCACAACUUUAACCCUACCCCCAAGCCAACAGGUUAAUGAUAUCACAACUUUAACCCUACCCCCAAGCCAACAGGUUAAUGAUAUCACAACUUUAACCCAACCCCCAAGCCAACAGGUUAAUGAUAUCACAACUUUAACCCUACCCCCAAGCAAACAGCCAGAAUGAUAUUCACAACUUUAACCCUACCCCCAAGCCAACAGGUUAAUGAUAUCACAACUUUAACCCUACCCCCAAGCCAACAGGUUAAUGAUAUCACAACUUUAACCCAACCCCCAAGCCAACAGGUUAAUGAUAUCACAACUUUAACCCUACCCCCAAGCCAACAGGUUAAUGAUAUCACAACUUUAACCCUACCCCCAAGCCAACAGGUUAAUGAUAUCACAACUUUAACCCAACCCCCAAGCCAACAGGUUAAUGAUAACUUUAACCCAACCCCCAAGCCAACAGCCAGGAUGAUAUCACAACUUUAACCCUACCCCCAAGCCAACAGGUUAAUGAUAUCACAACUUUAACCCUACCCCCAAGCCAACAGCCAGGAUGAUAUCACAACUUUAACCCUACCCCCAAGCCAACAGGUUAAUGAUAACUUUAACCCUACCCCCAAGCCAACAGGUUAAU